AUUGAACGCUGGCGGCAGGCUUAACACAUGCAAGUCGAGCGAGCGGCGGACGGGUGAGUAAUGUCUGGGAAACUGCCUGAUGGAGGGGGAUCACUACUGGAAACGUUAGCUAAUACCGCAUACCAUCAGAUGUGCCCAGAUGGGAUUAGCUAGUAGGUGGGGUAAUGGCUCACCUAGGCGACGAUCCCUAGCUGGUCUGAGAGGAUGACCAGCCACACUGGAACUGAGACACGGUCCAUACUCCUACGGUAGGCAGCAGUGUGGAAUAUUGCACAAUUGGCGCAAGCCUGAUGCAGCCAUGCCGCGUGUGUGAAGAAGGCCGUCGGGUUGUAAAGCACUUUCAGCGAGGAGGCGUUACUCGCAGAAGAAGCAUCGGCUAACUCCGUGCCAGCAGCCGCGGUAAUUC
rnacentral:rRNA from 1 species